GGGGCCGUAGUGUAGCUUGGCUAUCACUCAGGGCUGGGGGUCCUGCAACCCGUGUUCAAAUCACGGCGGCCCCA
rnacentral:tRNA from 1 species